rnacentral:rRNA from 1 species
GAUGAACGCUGGCGGCGUGCCUAAUACAUGCAAGUCGAACGCGCAGCGAGAGGUGCUUGCACCUUUCAAGCGAGUGGCGAACGGGUGAGUAACACGUGGAUAACCUGCCUCAAGGCUAGGGAUAACUUUUGGAAACAGAUGCUAAUACCGAAUAAAACUUAGUAUUGCAUCAUACAAAGUCAAAAGCCGCCACGGCGUAACCCAGCGAUGGAUCCGCGGUGCAUUAGUUAGUUUGUGGGGCAAAGGCUUACCAAGACAAUGAUGCCUAGCCGAGUUGAGAGACGGAUCGGCCACAUUGGGACUGAGACACGGCCCAAACUCCUACGGGAGGCUGCAGUAGGGAAUCUUCCACAAUGGGCGCAAGCCUGAUGGAGCAACGCCGCGUGUGUGAUGAAGGCUUUCGGGUCGUAAAGCACUGUUGUAUGGGAAGAAAUGCUAAAAUAGGGAAUGAUUUUAGUUUGACGGUACCAUACCAGAAAGGGACGGCUAAAUACGUGCCAGCAGCCGCAGUAAAAC